GUGGGGAAUAUUGGACAAUGGGCGAAAGCCUGAUCCAGCCAUGCCGCGUGUGUGAAGAAGGUCUUCGGAUUGUAAAGCACUUUAAGUUGGGAGGAAGGGUAGUAACCUAAUACGUUGCUACUUUGACGUUACCGACAGAAUAAGCACCGGCUAACUUCGUGCCAGCAGCCGCGGUAAUACGAAGGGUGCAAGCGUUAAUCGGAAUUACUGGGCGUAAAGCGCGCGUAGGUGGUUCAGUAAGUUGGAAGUGAAAUCCCCGGGCUCAACCUGGGAACUGCCUCCAAAACUGCAUGACUAGAGUACGGUAGAGGGUAGUGGAAUUUCCUGUGUAGCGGUGAAAUGCGUAGAUAUAGGAAGGAACACCAGUGGCGAAGGCGACUACCUGGACUGAUACUGACACUGAGGUGCGAAAGCGUGGGGAGCAAACAGGAUUAGAUACCCGGGUAGUCC
rnacentral:rRNA from 1 species